AGCAGCUAAAGGGGCAGUCCUUUCUUUUUCUCUGUGACUAAAAAUAUAAAGGAAAGCACCUCCUUUCUCUUUUAAGUUUUCACUGAAAUUUUCUUCCCUCUUCUUCUGCAAAAGAAAUCUUAUUUUCUUUUUAAAAUGGAAUUCAAGCAUAACCCACCAUCCGUUUCCGGCUGAAUUUGUAUUCUGCAAAGAGUAAGAGCGGAGCUUGCAGCAGUAAGCCGGGCAUAGCUUACGGCAGGCUUUUAGUGCUUCGAAAGUCGGUAUUUUGCUAAGCUAAUGAUAUGUAUAUCACGGGGUUGUCUUGGGUAGUUGUAUAUCGACAUUGACCUACAACUUCGUUGCGUUGCAUUUUCGGUGCAAGGUCAGUUUUGGAUUUUUUAUUUUGACUGCAUGUAUACCUAUCUUUUACUGCCAGGUCUUAAAUUUAUGUAUUACUAUCUGUCAAACUUUUAUUUUUUUAUAUAUACUUAAGUCAUGUUCUUGCUACAAGACUAAUUAAAAUGGAUGUCAGUUGAUCUUGUUUAGUACUGUGUGUUCAUCUUGUUUUGAACUAUUACUUAAGUGUGUUAUACGUGACAUGUCAUGCACUUCAUUUUGUUCUUAAUCUCCUUAUAUACUCUUUUGCUCCUUAAGUUAAAAAAAUCCCCCACUCAGUUGAGAGAAUGUGGAUGGUGGAGUCUGACUUUUGGAAAUAAUUUGAAUCUUCUUUCUUUUGUUUUAAAUUAACCGGUGAUAUUAGUUGCCAUGUUGGCUAAGUUCGAUACUAGUUUUGUUUCAAUUAUGUGCAGUCCUUUUAGCUUGUCAAAUUUUAUAUCUUAUCUUGUAGCCAGAAAUGCAAGUAGAGGUUAAAAUGUUUUCUCUUCGGGUUUGUUCGAGUCAACGGACUAAAGGGUUUCAUUUUAAAUCUCAAACAAAUUUCAGUACUGGACUCUUGUAAAUUUACUAGUAUUUGACACUCUUUUUACG